rnacentral:rRNA from 1 species
UACGAAGGUGGCAAGCGUUGUUCGGAUUUACUGGGCGUACAGGGAGCGUAGGCGGUUGGAUAAGCCCUCCGUGAAAUCUCCAGGCUUAGCCUGGAAAGUGCAGAGGGGACUGUUCAGCUAGAGGAUGGGAGAGGAGCGCGGAAUUCCCGGUGUAGCGGUGAAAUGCGUAGAGAUCGGGAGGAAGGCCGGUGGCGAAGGCGGGUCUCUGGACAGUUCCUGACACUGAGGCACGAAGGCCAGGGGAGCAAACGGG